GCCGGGCGCGGUGGCGCGUGCCUGUAGUCCCAGCUACUCGGGAGGCCGAGCCCGCCGGAUCGCUUGAGCCCAGGAGUUCUGGGCUGCAGUGCGCUAUGCCGAGCGGGCGUCCGCGCUAAGGCCGGCAUCAAUAUGGUGAGCCCCGGGGAGCCGAGGCACACCAGGUUGACUAAGGAGGGGUGAACCGGCCCAGGUCGGAGACGGAGCAGGUCAAAGCUCCCG
rnacentral:sRNA from 1 species